rnacentral:lncRNA from 1 species
AGGUAUUCUUCAUGAUUUCAGCACCCUCAACCUGUGGGGGUUUCCAAAGUGAAAUUCAGGUUCUAAACCAGAAAAGGAAAUUAACAGGAAAAUGCCCCAAGUGAUGUGGCUAUAGAUGACCUUAUCUACCUAACCUUCUAGGGGAUUCUAAGGAAAUCAAGUCAUCGUUCUAUUCUGGUCUUCUGUAAAUGGAGCUGCUGGGAAUGGAGCCUGCUUGGCAAUUCAUAAGAUGUUGCUUAGCAUCCAAUAAAAAGUAAUUUAUGAAGGUUUUCUCUAGUGACCUCAAAAGAUUCACUAUGAGGAGAGCUGUGCAAAACCCAGAAAUCUCCCAGCAAGCUAAUAAUGCAGAAGCCUUUAAGUCAUCAUGCUGUCUAACUUUAAAAGUCAUCUGGUUA